AGGCCAUAGAGGGCCAAUGCUUCAGCAAAGAUGAGAAUGAGGAUCAUCCCAACAAAAAGCUUCGGCUGUUGUGCAUUAGCUCUAACACCUGCAUCCCCUACGAUGCCAAUUGCCAUACCAGCAGAGAGACCAGCAAGGCCACAAGCGAGACCAGAAGAGAGGUGAGCGUAUCCAUCGAAGAGAUAAUAAGACUUGGCCUU
rnacentral:misc_RNA from 1 species